rnacentral:rRNA from 1 species
UACGUAGGGUGCAAGCGUUAUCCGGAAUUAUUGGGCGUAAAGAGCUCGUAGGCGGUUUGUCACGUCUGCUGUGAAAACUGGAGGCUCAACCUCCAGCCUGCAGUGGGUACGGGCAGACUAGAGUGCGGUAGGGGGAGAUUGGAAUUCCUGGUGUAGCGGUGGAAUGCGCAGAUAUCAGGAGGAACACCGAUGGCGAAGGCAGACUCUGGGCCGUAACUGACGCUGAGGAGCGAAAAGCAUGGG